rnacentral:rRNA from 1 species
UGGAAUUCCAUGUGUAGGUAAAAUGCGUAAAGAUAUGGAGGAACACCAGUAGGGCUUGCUGGGUCACGCUGAGGCACGAGCGUGGGGAGCAAACAGGAUUAGAUACCCUGGUAGUCCACGCCGUAAACGAUGAGUACUAAGUGUUGGGUUAAACAGUGCUGAAGUUAACGCAUUAAGUACUCCGCCUGAGUAGACGCAAGUAUGAAACUUAAAGGAAUUGACGGGACUCCGCACAAGCGGUGGAUCAUGUUGUUUAAUUCGAAGAUACACGAAAAACCUUACCAUUGACAUACUCUGCAAAGCUAUAGAAAUAUAGUGGAGGUUAUCAGGG